rnacentral:rRNA from 1 species
CCCUUAGAUGUUCUGGGCCGCACACGCGCUACACUGAAGGAGGCAGCGUGUACUCCUGGAUCGAAAGAUUUGGGUAACCCGCGAAUCUCCUUCGUGCUAGGGAUUGAGGUUUGCAAUUAUCCUUCAUGAACGAGGAAUUCCCAGUAAGUGCAAGUCAUAAGCUUGCGCUGGCUACGUCCCUGCCCUUUGUACACACCGCCCGUCGCUACUACCGAUUGAAUGAUUUAGUGAGGACUUCGGACUGGGACCGAUGCGGCUUUCGGGCUGCGUCGGUAUUCUGGAAAGAUGUCCAAACUGUAUCAUUUAGAGGAAGUAAAAGUCGUAACA